rnacentral:lncRNA from 1 species
AUGACCCCACCAACACCCAAAGGUCCGACACCAAAACCCCAACGCGACCCUUCCACCGUUGGCCAUCGUCUUCGCGGAAACUCAACAUUUUCACCCAAAGUUGACCAAAAAUGGUGGGUUUUUGAGUCAGAAUGGCACUUUUUGACCAAUUCAGAGUCUACCAUGAUAGAAAAUCCAUUGCUUGUUUCCCCAGAACCCCACCGACACCCAAAGGUCCGACACCAAAACCCCAACGCGACCCCUCCACCGUUGGCCAUCGUCUUCGCGGAAACUCAACAUUUUCACCCAAAGUUGACCAAAAAUGGUGUUUUUUUGCAACAGAACGAGGUGUAUCCACCCUCCACCCACCCCCCUACCCCAUAUGCACCCUCUGAUACCGGCGCAGCACCGCGCCGCCGGCGAAUCCCUUCCCGCACUGCGGACAGGCGUGAGCGUUGGCUUGGUGCGCGGCGCCGUGAGCGCACCGGUGCUUGAGGAACGUUGGCCGUCGUCCACACAGAAACUCAACAUUUUCACCCAAAGUUGACCAAAAAUGGUGGUUUUUUGGGGUCAGAAAGGGGCUUUUGGAUCAUUUCUGACUCUAUGAUGGUGGAGAACCCAAUGUUUCGUGCCAUGAACACAACAUGACCCCACCAAAACCCAACCGCGAUCUCUCCAACGUUGGCCAUUGUCUUCGCGGAAACUCAACAUUUUCACCCAAAGUUGACCAAAAAUGGUGGAUUUUUGGGUCAGAAUGGCACUUUUUGACCAAUUCUGAGUCUACCAUGAUGGAAAACCAUGAUUCAGCGCCCCAUGACCCUGCCAUCACCCAAAGGUCCGACACCAAAACACCAACGCGACCCCUCCACCGCUGGCCAUCGUCUUCGCGGAAACUCAACAUUUUCACCCAAAGUUGACCAAAAAUGGUGGGUUUUUGGGUCAGAAUGGCACUUUUUGAUCAUUUUGAGUCUACCAUGAUGGGAAUCUCAUUAUUUAGUGCCAUACAUCCACCAUGACCCCACCAACACCCAAAGGUCCAUCNUAGGGACCCAUAGAGACCCAUAGAAAUCCUACCGAGCCCCAUAGAGCCCCAUAGAGAGACCCACUGAGACCCCAUAGAUCCCAUAGAGACCCAUAGGGACACAUAGAGACCCAUAGAGACCCACACAUUGACCCACAGAGACCCAUAGAGACCCGUAGAGACCCAUAGAGACCCAUAGAGACCCGUAGCGACCCGUAGCGACCCACUGAGACCCCACAGAUCCCAUAGAGACCCAUAGGGACCCAUAGAUCCCAUAGAGACCCAUAGAGCCCCAUAGAGCCCCAUAGAGCCCCAUAGAGACACAUAGAGCCCCAUAGAGACCCAUAGAGACCCAUAGAGACCCAUAGAAAUCCUACUGAGCCCCAUAGAGCCCCAUAGAGAGACCCAUGGAGACCCCACAGAUCCCAUAGAGACCUACAGGGACCCACAGGGACCCAUAGAGAAACAUAGGGA